UACAACCAAUAUUACUAAUAGACCCAAACACACAACUUCUAGCUGAUUACAUGGAGAAAGUCCAGAAGGACAUUACUCCUAAUAUGAGGGCAAUGCUUGUUGAUUAUUUGGUGGAUGUUGCAGAGGAGUUCAAAAUGCAAUCUGAAACUUUGUUCCUCACUGUUUCCUGCGUUGAUAGAUUUCUAUCAAAAAAUACUCUGCAUCGCACAGAACUUCAGUUACUGGGACUUUCAUCCAUGUUCAUAGCCUGGAAGUAUGAAGAGACUCGUGAUGAAGAGUGUCCUGCUCGAAGUGUUCAAGAUUUUUGUGAGGUUUCGGCUAAAUCUCUCUCUCGGGAACGGGUGUUGGAAAUGGAAAUUAAUGUACUCCACUCUAUAAACCAUGAACUGAGCAUUCCGACCGCAGUGACAUUUUUAUGGUAAGUUUGUUAAAACUUGAUAAUUAAUAUAAAACAAAGUUGUUUAGUAUUUGUGUUUUGUCUGCAGGAGAUUUUUGACCGAUACUAAGGAGAAGAAGAGUCUGAAAGUUAAAUUUCUGUGCUUCUAUCUCGCGGAACUAAGUUUGUUGGAAUAUGACUGUUUGAAAUUCCUUCCUUCUAUGCUGGCAGCAUCUAUCAUAUUUUUUGCGAAAUGGAUAAUCACAUCAGAAAUUCAUCCUUGGACGCUUUCUCUGCAGAAUGUUACUAAAUACUCACCACCUGAGUUGAAGCAAUGCGUUUUUACUAUACACAAGUUGUCUAGGAGUGAAAUAGUGUCAACUUUCAAAGCUUCAAAAAAAAAAUACAAUAAAUAUAAGUUCAAUUUUGUGUCAGAGUUUGCCGCUCCUCCAGUGAUACCAGCUCAUUUUUUGGGAGUAUUAUACAAUGAUAGAGAGAAGGUGAUUUUUGGUCAAUAGAAGUUGAUUUUGUUUGAUCUUGACUGAUUGGAGUAGGCUGACAAUACUGAUUCUUUUUGCUCUGAAAUGAUUGUGAACUUUUGUAGCGGGAUUGCUUAAAUAGUAUAGUUCUUAGUGAUUUUGAGGUGGAGUUUUUUGUAGUGCGAUGGCCUAAAUGGUAUAGUUAUUAGCGAUUCUUUUGAAGUGAGUUGUUUUCUCACGUUGACAAACAACAUUGGGGAUGACAUUAGUUCAUUUCAGUUGGAAUGAUGCAUACGUAUAUUUUGGGACGUGAAAAUCUUAAUGAAGUAGUUAGCCCGUUUAUAUCGUCUCGCAGCUGUUUAGUUUUUUUUCUUGCUUUUUUUCAAGGCAACUGGUGUGAGGUUCAUAUGCUUUUUCUUUUCAUUUAAUUGGUAGGUAUAUUAGAAUUUUUCCUAUUUAGAGCAAGAUAUCUAAUUUUCCACAAUAGCAAUUCACAGCUUCAAUUCAAGUAAAUGCUGGCUGGCAGAAGGCCAAGAAAAUAAUAGGUUUACGAGAGAAAUAAUAAGACCAAAGAUUCUAUAUGGUCCUUGAGAAUUGGCAGCACAGAACAAUUUAUUGAGACAGAUCUUUUCUAAUUAUGAUAGAUAUUACCUUAUUUUGUUUAACACUCAUUGUGAAAUUUUAAAGAUUUUUAUAAAGCUGAAUAUUCCAACAAAUUCUCUCUUGUGGCUUCCAUUCCAUCUAUUGAAGAU